CACGUAUGCUCACCCGAGGCAAACGUACGUGUGUACACCGUUGUAUGCUAACCCGAGGCAAACGUACGUGUGGACACUGUUUUACGAAAGAGAAAACGCAAAUAGACCAAUUACUACCUCACGUGACCCUACUACCAACAUAACGGUUUAAAAACUCUUCUGAUAUUUUUUAGGUUAUGUUUAGCGGAAUUGUAAGGAGAUAAGGUAACUGAACAGUCAGGUUAUGAUGUAACAAAGUACAGUAGAUACAAAAUUAGUCAUAACUUGGUAGGUUUAUUCUUAUAAAUAAGUCCGUCUUUAACAGAAGACUAAUCAAACACAAAGACAUAAUAUGGAUGAAUUCGUAACAGAAAGUUGAAACGGUUAAUAGUAUGAUUAGGCUAUUCAUCACUGUACCAGAGAAUAACAGGCUGAUUGAGCUAUGGUUGAAACUUGCUGCUGGAUUUAUCUUGCUAGUUUAUGGCUGAUGAUCAGAGUGUCAAGUAUCAGGCACCAAAAUGUGUCACAAAGGCCGCAAACACAGUUCAUCGUGUGUGUUGUUGCUCAUUCUGCAAAGACAGUGAACAUGCAAUCCCAUAGUUUGACACUGUACACAUCGUUUUACCAUUAUCAUAGUAUAUCCCACUUCCAUUGUAUAACUUUGAACAUUACAAAACAUGUGUUUUGUCAUGAAUAAUAAUGUGAUUAUGUAAAUUACCAAUUUAUUGUUACUUUCGCAAUUCUUCAUAUGUUUUGAAAAAAAUAAAAGGUAUUAUGUA